rnacentral:misc_RNA from 1 species
AUCGGUGUCUAGGGCUCCUCCAUUGCCUAGAUCUACUAGAGUGAGUGAGCCUACAGAGCUGGCCUCAUCCAGGCUCCAGUUCCACCCCACGGUCAUCCUCUGUUGCUCUACGUUUCAUGCUUCUCACAUCCUCUCCUCAAUCUCAUCAACUGUGCUGAAGGAGGCAGAUGAAAGUAUUUCCGUCUCAUCAACUGUGCUGAAGAGGAGGAAAACACCUCACUUGUUGAAGGGAGCAGUGGAGACCCGGAGGAAGAUCAUUUGGAGUCUGCAGCUACUAAUCUUCAGCCUGGCAGUGACACUUGCAUUGCAAGGGAAGAGUUGCCAGAUCAGAAGGAUCUGGUGAAACUGCAAGCUGUUAUCCGUGGACAUCUAGAGGCGGCCCAUGCCUCACGGCCAAAGCAGAUCAGUUAGGAGGAUAAAAGAAGAC